AGAUAAGAAGUGGAAAAAGUGAAAGUUGCUCCAAGAUAAGGGAAGGGUCACCAGGAAGCAAGCGCCGA
ensembl:ncRNA F13G3.13 ncRNA